rnacentral:rRNA from 1 species
UACGGAGGGUGCAAGCGUUGUCCGGAAUCAUUGGGCGUAAAGCGCGCGUAGGUGGCCAUUUAAGUCCGCUGUGAAAGUCAGAGGCUCAACCUUUGAAAGCCGGUGGAUACUGGAUGGCUAGAGUACGGAAGAGGCGAGUGGAAUUCCUGGUGUAGCGGUGGAAUGCGCAGAUAUCAGGAGGAACACCAAUAGCGAAGGCAGCUCGCUGGGACGUUACUGACACUAAGGCGCGAAAAGCGUGGGGAGCGAACAGG